rnacentral:pre_miRNA from 1 species
UUUUUUAAUUUUCAUUUAUUUGUACUGUGAAAAACUGGCGUGUUUAAUGAAAUAAUCAAAAAGUGACAAGAGUGUAUCACGUGUACGUCAUGCUAACAUACAUAGACUAAUUUUUAACAGUAGAAAUAGAUUAAAUUUUUAAUA